UGGGUUGGGGGGUAAUUCUCAAAAAUUUAGAGGGUGAUUUUGUCUUUUGAGGUCAAUUCCUCCCCCCUCGAUUUUGCUUUAUUUACAACAAAACCGUGGGAUAUGGGGCUGGGUUGGAACGUAGUUAUUAAAAGUUAGGAGGGUAAUUUUGUCCUGUACGCUUGAGACGGAUUGGGGUGGGUUUGGGUAUGCUGUCAUUCAGUGAGGGUUUCGGGGAUGGGAGGCCAUGCCUCCGAUAGAGAGAGAGAGACAGAGCGAGAGAGAGGGAGAGGGAAGAGUGGGGAUCUCAGUGCCAUUGUUGCAGAUCCUCAAUUUCAUGAGUGGGAGAGGGGGGACAGUCAGAGAAAAGUAUGGGGGUACUCCGAUCUCUCUCUCUCUCUCUCCUCCGUUUCUCUCUCUUAAUUUCCUUUUGGUUUUGGAAAUCUCUGACCUUUUGGGUGAGUGAGAGAUUAUUGAUGAUGAGAAAAGUAUGGAGGUCUGACCUUUUGGUUUGGGUAUGCUUUCAUUCCUCAAUUUUCUCCAUCCGAGCAAUGAAAAAUCGAACUGGGUUUUCAGAUUAUCGAUGCACAGGGAUUCACGGACAGAGAAGGGAGAGACAGAGAGUUGAUUGAGGGAGUUGGUGAGUAUGGGCUUGCACAGAGGGAAGAACGCAGAGAGAGAGAGAGGGAGAGAAAGGGAGAGAACGAUUGCACAGAGACAAUGAGAGAGACGAGAGAGAGAUCGCAGAAAGAGGAGGAUGCCGAAAAUUGAGGAGGAACCCGUGUCUGCAGAGAAUCUUUGAAAGGAAGAGACUGCCAGGAAAGUAAUUUUUUUUUCUCUCUGCUGGACAAAAAACUACCGGGGAAGGAAGAGACUGCCAGGAAAGUAAAACCCAGACCGGAGAAGACAAGCAAUGGCGGCGGAACCAAGGCUGUAGAUCUUUGAUAAAAGGAGAACGAUUUGGAGCAAGUGACUCACAAAGUUAUACUUCGAUAUCGAAAUUAAUGGAAACCCAUUGAUUGCAUUGUAAUGGGACUCUUUGGAAAAACAGUUCUUAAGACCAAUUGUGAGACAUUCUUUCCGACAAUGACAAGGAUCGUGGGAACGCUUGGUCCAAAAUAACGAUCGGUUGAGACAAUCUCCGGCUGCUUGAAGGCAGGAAUGUCUGUGGCACGGUCUGAUUUUUCAUGGGGUGAUGCCCAGUUUCACCAAGAGACAUUGGGAAACCUGAAGGUUGCAAUGAAGAGUACCAACAAACUUUGUGCAUUUGAGUCUACUGAGUUCUGCGGAUUCACUCAAUUGCAAUCAUCUCUUCUGCAACACUUGCACCCUGAGUUGAUGAAAUCGGGUUCCAUUUGUCCAGUUUAUAAAAUUCCAUAUUGGCGCAGAGGCAAAAGUUUUUAUGCAACCUCAUUACUUGCAGAAUUUGGUUUGGUCAACCUUUAAUGCCUUAUCGUUGGAAUAAGUUAAGGUGGUACAAUAGUUCUAUCCGAUGAUGGUCACUAUUUUUCAAAGGAUGCUGUCGAAUUUCAAGAUUGAAAACUGCUGGCUUUCAAUCUUUUUGAACAAGUUACCUUUGUAAGAUCUGUGCAAGAUAUCCAUAUAUGGGUCAAUGCUAUGGACUCUUCUCAACCUAUGGACCUCAAAUUUCAGUGCGUUUUCCAUCAUUUAUCCUACCUCACUAUGUUGGUUUAAAGUAGUUCCAAAAUAUGGGAUCGUUUGGGAUAUGUUCCCCCUCUCUCUACAUUUCAGAUUUCUGCAGUUUCACAAAUUAGGGUCUAUAUGUGCAGCAAGCAAAAUCCUUUCAUUCAUAUGAGCUUCUUGGGCCUCUUUACCUUCACAGCAGCUUACCUACGUGGAGUCUAGAUUAAGGCUUGAAGCACAACUUUUAAAAAUCGAGAUUACCUACAAUUGAGCUGCAAUGGAGGCAAUCAGGAAGCUAAGAGAUCAGGUCGCCAAGCAACAACAGUUUUAGGUGAAAGAGAUACUAUCCCAUUAUCCAUCCAACUACAAACAGUCUGCAGUGAUUCCUCUGCUGGAUUUUCCACAACAGCAGCAUGGAGGUUGGCUCCCUGUUUCAGCAAUGAAUGCAAGAUCAAGCAUGCAAGGGAAUGGUAGGAUCAACACAUCAAAGGAUUUUCCAACUGACACCAAAGAAAGGUUGUUGAUUAUCUCAUUGACCCCAGCCUUUGUUGCUGGCACAAAUGGUGAUCCCAAAUAACUUUAUGUGAGUAAUGUCUCACUCUUUGUCCAUAUUUCAUACUGAGUUGUUAAUGGGAUUGUUCCUUAACUAGACAAUUGUUUCCCGAAAUCUGUAUUUAUGCCAUUGCCGUGCAGCUAUCUCAUAAAUCUUCUUAUGUAUACUUAUUUGGUAAGAAUAAACACCUUUUGAGGCUCAAGUAUGGAGUACCAUCUACCAAUGGCACCACCAAAACCACAUUCUUAUUAUUAUUGUUAACAGCCCUUUGCAUGAUUAAUUUCUAUUUCAUAUUAGUUUUAACAAAUAUAUUUGGGUAUGGAUUUUUGACCUUGGCUAUUCAAUUGACUUGAAUUAGUGUCAAUUAAUCCAAUUUUUUGUCUUGAUUUUCUAUUUGAUUUUUUUAUAUGAAACUUAAGUAUAGGGUUUUGACAUAUGGGUGGAUUUGACAUUGCUCAUGCUGUGGCUAGGUAAAAAGACUUCCUCGGUUGUUUUGCUUGGAUUAUCAUGUUCAUGCCAAUAUCAAAUGAAAUUUCUACCCUUGCCACUAAAACUCUGUACUUUUUUCUUUGCUUUUUGUGUUGAGGUGUCGUCUGCUUCUUCUGCUUCAUUGGUUUUGUUCUUCUGCACUCCCUUGGCCUCUGGGAUUUUUGUGCUUCACUACUGCCCUGCUCCGGGAUCUUCAAUUUUGAAUGGUUGUCGGUCCCAGCCGGCUAGAGCUUCAAUUUUGUGUUUCUGUACUCUCCCGGGGAUUUCUUCACUGCCCUGCUACUGGGAUCUUUAAUUUUUGAAUAGUUGUGGAUUCAAGCCUGCUAUCUGCAGAGCUUCUAUUUUCCUUCAACUUCGUCGGUAGCAAUGCGCCUCCCUCAAACUACUAUAGUGGCAUUUGUUUAACUUUUACUUGAAGGAUUGAGCAAUGGGUUACGCGUUGAAUGUUUAUGCAGGUACUCACAGCUGUUCUACAGAAGUUGGGUUGUUCAUAAACGAAAGAGUUGUUUGGAUUUUUGCUGCUUCUUGAAUUUAUAUAUAAAUGAGUCGUUGCGUAAAAAAAAAAAAAAUUGGGGUUUUGUUUUUAUGUUGGAAUUCUGAGUGUGGGUGUAUGAUUUGGUUCUCUUUCUAUUUUCAAGAAACGGUGGUUUUCAUUUUUUGGGGAGUGCAAUAGCGUUCUAGGAUUCAUAUAGCCGACAUCACUUGGUGGGAAAAGGCUUUGUUGUUGUUGUUGUUGUUGUUGUUGUUGUUAUUGUUUGUAUUGUGUGUAGGCUUCCAAGCUGUUUGUGCUUGAGGUAUAUAAUUUCAGCUUUUUUCUUUGGGUUUUUUUAUUUUUUUUAUUGAAGAAUGUAAAUUUUUUUGUGCUCUGAAACCCUAAUACGUAGGGAUUCAUCUGAUCUUAUAUUUUUGUGUAUUUGAGAAUGCCUUUUGCUGCUUUUUUACUGUUUUGUAUCAUAUUUUGUGUGUGUGUGUGUGCGGCUCAAAACAGAAAGUUACUUGGUCCUAAUGUGUUGUUUAUUUAGCUGCAGCCAACAUUCAGGUGUCUGAUAUUGGUAUGUAAAUUAUUGGUAAUUUGGAUUGGUGUCUGAGAUUUAGAGAAUGGGUCGCAUCUUUAAUUUCUUUUUCCUUCAUUAUUACUGUUUUCAAAAUUUUUACUGCUGGUAUUGAUGAUUUGUAGUCUGUGAGGGCUUCUAUUUGUUGGAAUUUUGAAUGGUUAUUGCUUCAUCGGAAUUUGGGUGGUCCAAAUUGAAUUAGAAGAAAACCAAUUUGAUUAAUAUUUUAGGUGGAUUGGCUCUCUGUGUUUUGUCUGUUAUUUCUUCCCCAGUUGGAAAGUGGAAGCCCCAACUUUGAGCUCAGAGCUUGAAUUUCUCAAUCAUUCAUUUUUCUACACCAUCAAGUAGUACUCCAUUUAAUUGCUUAAUUGAGGUUUUUUGUUUCUCUUUUUUGCUCUUUCAUCAGUUCAUUGGCUUUUUUGUUCCUCUUGAUCCUUCUUAAUUAUCAUCUAUUAAUCUUUCCAUUCAUAAUAAAGCUUAAUUGUCAACCUGUUUUGAGGUAGCCACGUGAACCAUUGCAGGAAACGUGCUGUCGGCUCAGGAUUUAACAUUGCAGGAUUUUGGAUUUUGGUUGGUUUAGGUUGCUGCAGAUGGGGGCUUUGGAUGUAAGGCGAUGGUUGGCAGACACUGAAAGGUUGAUUACCCUCCUUAUGGAAGGGACUUUGUGAACCUGCCUACUGGAAGGUUUUGCAAUGGCUGGUAAUUAACAAUAUUACCAUUUAGAUGCCUUCAGUUGUUCUUAUUGAAAGUAUUUAGUUGAAUUUUACUAUUUACAGCAAACCAUAUAAACAAUGAUAUGUAAUUCUAAGAGGAGAGAUUUAAUGGCAUUACCAUGUUUUUAGUUCGAUUCAAUGAUGCAAACUGUUAAUAUUAUUUUUGCGCAGAAUUAAUUUUCCAAAUUCACAUGACGGUGUUAAAAUUGAGAAUUGUUAAAAUAAUAUGAUUUACUUGGAAUCUGACGGUGUUAAACUGCAGCAAAUAAAUUUUUCCUAUUGUAUUGAAUUUUCGAAGGGCUUCCUUUCCACUUUUGAUAACUCGGCAGCUGCAAGCAAAGCGGAGAGUUUUUUUAUUCAAGAGCAACAAUCCAAAACAAUUUCCAUGGGAAGAGUCAUGGAUUCCUAUUUCUUAGCUCUCACUGCCAUUGUCACUGUAACACUGUCUCUCUCUCUUCCUUUGAAAGAUGAAUCUGAAUUUUUGAGCCCUGAUUUGUUAGUUACGCAGUCCUUGGAACGAAAUACAAACACAACUCGACAAAAGGUCUUCAUGUUGUCCCACAUUGGAGGAUUAUUAUAAAAUUUAUUAACUUUAUUAGGGUUUACAUUAGGCUUUUGAUCUCCAAAUAAUUCUUUAAAUUUGGUUCCCUUAUGGCUUGGAUAUGCAUACAAUCAUCGUUUGGAAUUUGGUUUUGAUUGCAAAUUUGGAAUUUGGUGUUUAUAACAUUUGAUUUUCUCGGAUUUUUUUACAUGUUUUUGUGGUGAUACAGGGGACGAAUUCUAGGAUGGAGGUGAAAGGAUUUGGAAGAAUCAGUGAAAAAACAUACUAAAGUAACAACGCAAUAGUGGUGAGAAUAAGCAUUCUCAUGUAUCUAUGGAUGUGUGAUAUGAAUUAGGUGGAUGAUGUUGAAGCAUCAGUCAAUAAAAAACAAAUAGGAUCUUAGAUAGGAUUUUUUGCCACUGUAUCUUUUGUAAUCAGAUCGGUUGAAUGUAUAUAAAAGCCGAACUGCUUAUUUUACCGACACCUUUCACUCAUCUAUCCCUUUUGUUUGUUCAUGAUUAUGUUGAAUUUUUUUUUUUGAAGUUAAAUGUCUUAUACGUGUGGAUAAGACUGGUGCAUUCAAAUCCCGCGGCAACGCGCGGGCAUUUUUGCUAGU